CAAGGCUUCCAUCUAAAGCUGAACAACUGCAAAUAUUUAACACCUCUUUGGUGGAAGAAAUGGCCACCAAUCUGCAGCAAUCAUCUGCAGUGGCUCAGAAGGAAGCCGAGGGCAAAAAUUUCAUUGGUGUCAACAUUCUCAGUUGGCAUCUGUAAUGACCAAGAAAUACCUGAAGCCCCUGCUGACUGUGUGUUUAAAGGUCCAGACCAAAUUCCUGCUUUUUGUGGAACUUGCUUUCUAUGAAGGGAUUCAUCGAUUUGAGGAAGUCAUUCCUGUCUAUUGUUGCAUGGAAAAUAUGCCUCACUCCUGCUUCCUUCCCAUCACUAUCUCUAUGUUCAUGCUGGUUACGUGACUGGUGUGGUAUUUAUCUUCUUUCUCCUGUCUACAGAGCAGCAGAAUUCAUGGAGAAUUGAUGUUUGAACCAACCGGCGUUAUUUCAGCCACAUUCUAUCGACUACAUGACUAAGUCAGAUGUUCUCCAGAGGAGAUGAAUAGAUUUUCUCUGCCACAUACUCCUUCCAUGAUGUGUGCUGCCUCACCAUGGGCCCUAAAACAAUGAGGCCAACCUACUACUAUGGACUGCAACUUCCAAAACUGCAAGCCCAAAUAAACCUUCCCUCGUUACAAGCUCAUUUUCUCAGCUACUUUAUUCCAGGAAGAGAAAGAGGCCCAACUCAAUAGAAUCAUCUUAUGAACAAACUAUCAAUACCUGCAUUGAGACUGUUUUGAGGGCAACCCGCCCAGAGAUUAAUCCCAGGCAACAUCCAGCCUGGGCUUCAAAGACUCAUGGUCUAGUGGAGGCAUGAGAUUCUUUGCAGAGACAAACUCAAAGAUGGAUAUGCAGUACAGAAAAUGAUCUUCAAGGGGAAAAAAAAAGCAAUACCUAGAGCAUUAAAAAACCACAUAGUAGCUGGGUAUGGUAGUGCAGAUCUAUAAGUCCAGCACUCCAAGAAGCUAAGGCAAGAGGAUCACAAGUUCAAGGUCAACCUGGGCAACUUAGUGACUUAGCAAGACAU